rnacentral:tRNA from 1 species
GCCGGUGAUGGUCUACGAGGCGCUGCUGCCUCACAAGCAGCAGGGUCUGGAGUGCCGGUUCAUCUCGAACAUCGACCC